UACGUAGGGUCCGAGCGUUGUCCGGAAUUACUGGGCGUAAAGAGCUCGUAGGUGGUUUGUCGCGUUGUUCGUGAAAACUCACAGCUUAACUGUGGGCGUGCGGGCGAUACGGGCAGACUUGAGUACUGCAGGGGAGACUGGAAUUCCUGGUGUAGCGGUGGAAUGCGCAGAUAUCAGGAGGAACACCGGUGGCGAAGGCGGGGCUCUGGGCAGUAACUGACGCUGAGGAGCGAAAGCGUGGGGAGCGAACAGG
rnacentral:rRNA from 1 species